rnacentral:rRNA from 1 species
AUGGAACACAAGUGCUCGAAAUUUUUCCAAGAGUUGAAGGAAUUUCAAGUGGGAAAGACUAAAGACUUUCAGAUUAAACAGUUAAAGGGGUUAAGAGAAUUGGGAGGAUCAGUUGCAAUUUAUAAUCUGGAGAAUGUGGGAAGCAGAGAGGAAUCGUGGAAUUCUGGAUUAAGGGACAAAAUAUACAUGCAUGAUUUGUUACUUUCAUGGUGUAAGAGCCGGUUUGAUGUGAGUUCUGUUACUGAGGCACAGGUGCUUGAGGGUCUUCAUCCACACUCUGCUCUCAAGCGCCUUCAUAUAACUAGUUAUGGAGGUAUUUGUUUUCCGACAUGGUUGAGCUCCAAUUUUUCACUCACCAGCUUAGAGUCUAUCUAUCUGGAUAAUUGCACAAAAUGGGAGCUACUUCCACCACUCGGGCAAUUUCCACUCCUUAAAACACUAGAUCUGAUUCAGUUGUCUGCUUCAACAGAAGUGCCAAUGAUGUCCUGUGGCGAUUGGACUGAAUCUGAAAAUAAUGUCCUUUUUCCAUGUCUAGAAGAACUUGUCGUAAGAGAUUGCCCUAAACUAAGGUCAUUUGCAUUACCUCAAUGUUCUUCCAAUGACAAAGGCUUUCACUCAUUUGGUUGCCUCCGUCGUGUUAACAUCUACAACUGUCCUCAACUGAUUCACUUACCCCAGUUUGGUGAGAUGACAUCUCCAUCCACAAUGUCUCUUGAGGGAGUAGGAUCGUUUCCUCACAUCAGACUAUUCAUGCGAGCAUUACAUAUCAAAGGGAGUGUUAGUGUGAGAACCUUGGAUGAGAUAUUACCAUUAGUUCUGACUUAUUGCAGGCUUUAUGGCCUUGUGAAACUAACUGUUGCAAGCUUCCUGGAUCUUGCAUAUUUGCCAUGGGAAAUUUUCAGCCAACUUCUCUCCUUAGAAAUGCUGGUAAUUGUGGAUUGCCCAAGGUUUUUCUUGCCUUCGUAUUCGUAUGACCAAGAAAUCCCAUCUUUGCUAAAGAAGCUUGUAAUCCAAGAAUGUGGUAUCACUGGGAAGCAGUUAUCUCACUUGCUGUUGCAACUGCCCUUCCUUUAUUUCUUGACUAUUGGAAGCUGUCCAAAAAUAGCAUCAUUGGCAGUAGGUGGUCUGAUUACUGGGAAUUUUAGCUCCUCAGCAUCUUACAACCACAACUGUACAAUUGAUGGCUUGUUGCAAAUCCCAUCCGACCUCUUAAAUCGGCUUGAGUAUUUAUGCAUAGAAGACUUCCCAGAUCUGGUUCUCCUGUGCAAUGAGGGCUUUCUUGGAUUUAUCUCACUCAAAACACUACACAUAACAGGGUGCCCACAAUUUUUCUUCUCUAUAAUGACAGAAAAAGAAUCUAGCGACAGCUGGUUCCUCCUACCACCAUCGAUACAAGACCUUAUGGUUACUCACAUGGAUAACAGGUUGAUGUCCUUAAUGCUUUCUAAUCUCACCUCGUUGUCCAUCUUGGCAAUAUCACGGAGUCCAGAGCUGACAUCUAUUGUUCUCCAUUCUUGCACAUCUUUAGAAACAUUUAUUGUUGAGAAGUGUGCUAGGUUAUCUGCUCUGGACGGCGUGGGGUCUCUAUGCAGUAUCAAGCACAUGAGGAUUUUUGAAUGUCCCAGUUUGGCUAUACCUUGUGGCCCUUCAUCUCCAGAUGAGCAGAACAAGGAUUUGUACUUUUUACUUCAGCUGGAGAAGCUUGAGAUCGAUAACACUUCAUUCUUUAACACGGCAAUUUGCAAGAGCCUCCCCUCUCUCCAACAUGUAGUGUUUUUCAUGGCGAAGAAUGUGAGAUCGUCCACAGAGGAACAAGACAGAGCACUGUCUCACCUUACAUCUCUUCAUAUUCUUGAUUUUUGCUAUUGCUCUGAUCUCAUAUCGCUGCCUAAGGAACUGCAUCGUCUUUCCUCCGUCAAGAAAUUGUCGAUCAAGACUUGUCCAGGAGUUCUAUCAUUGCCAGAAAAGGGAUUGCCAGCCUCCCUACAUGAGUUGUAUGUGAGCAACUGCAGUACAGAACUAAAGGAACAGGUGUAG